CCGGGGUGGAGUAACGCGUGGGUAACCCGCCUCAUACAGGGGGAUAACAGUUAGAAAUGGCUGCUAAUACCGCAUAAGCGCACAGGACCGCAUGGUCUGGUGUGAAAAACUACCGGUGGUAUGAGAUGGACCCGCGUCUGAUUAGCUAGUUGGAGGGGCAACGGCCCACCAAGGCGACGAUCAGUAGCCGGCCUGAGAGGGUGAACGGCCACAUUGGGACUGAGACACGGCCCAG
rnacentral:rRNA from 1 species